AGUGAAGCGGGAUGAGCUCAAAUUUAAAAUCUGACUGGUUUACUAGUCCGAGUUGUAGUUUAAAGAAGCGUUUUCGGUGGCAGUCUCGGUAUAAAUCCUUUGGAAUAGGGUAUCAUAGAGGGUGAGAAUCCCGUCUUUGACUGAGAAUAUGCUACUAUGUGAUACGUUUUCAAAGAGUCGAGUUGUUUGGGAAUGCAGCUCAAAAUGGGUGGUAAAUUUCAUCUAAGGCUAAAUAUUGGCGAGAGACCGAUAGCGAACAAGUACCGUGAGGGAAAGAUGAAAAGAACUUUGAAAAGAGAGUUAAACAGUGCGUGAAAUUGUUAAAAGGGAAACGCUUGAAACCAGUCAUGCGGUUGGGAAAUCAGUCUCUGACAAGGGGGAAUGGGAGAGGUGUGGACCGCAAGGCCGCUCUUUUUCAUAUCUUUCGUGGCAGGGAUGCACUUUUUCUUCUGCAGGUCAACAUCAGUUUGCUUUGCCGGACAAAACUCUUGGAAAGGUGAUAGCUUAGGCUAUGUUAUAGUCCAAGAGCGAUACGGCGGAGCGGACUGAGGCUUUCGCAGCAUGUGCUCUCGGGCAAGGCUGAUUGGGUGCUAUGGGAUCGUUCAGAGUACAAUACAUGUAUUUUGCUUUGUGUCUUUUCUAUACUCGCUCAACUCGGCUCUUCCAUGCUUAGGAUGUUGACAUAAUGGUUCUAAUCGACCCGUCUUGAAACACGGACCAAGGAGUCUAACAUAUAUGCAAGUGUUUGGGUGGCAAACCCAUGCGCGUAAUGAAAGUGAACGUAGGUGCCAUCCGCAAGGUGCAGCAUCGACCGAUCUUGAUAUUUUUGGAUAGAUUUGAGUAAGAGCAUAUAUGCUGGGACCCGAAAGAUGGUGAACUAUGCCUGAAUAGGGUGAAGCCAGAGGAAACUCUGGUGGAGGCUCGUAGCGAUUCUGACGUGCAAAUCGAUCGUCAAAUUUGGGUAUAGGGGCGAAAGACUAAUCGA
rnacentral:rRNA from 1 species